rnacentral:rRNA from 1 species
UCGAGAAUCUUUCGCAAUGCCCGAAAGGGUGACGAAGCGACGCCGCGUGUGGGAUGAAGGCCCUCGGGUUGUAAACCACUGUCGGGAGUUAAGAAUUGUAGGGGUGCUAAUAGUAUUUCUACUUGACUAAGGCUCCGGAGGAAGCCACGGCUAACUCUGUGCCAGCAGCCGCGGUAAUACAGAGGCGGCAAGCGUUGUUCGGAAUUAUUGGGCGUAAAGAGCAUGUAGGCGGCUAUGUAAGUCGGUUGUGAAAGCCUUCCGCUUAACGGAAGAAUGGCGGUCGAAACUGCAUGGCUUGAGUGCGGGAGGGGAGAGUGGAACUUCUGGUGGAGCGGUGAAAUGCGUAGAUAUCAGAAGGAACGUCGGCGGCGAAAGCGACUCUCUAGACCGUAACUGACGCUGAGUGUGCGAAAGCUAGGGGAGCAAACGGGAUUAGAUACCCCGGUAGUCCUAGCCGUAAACGAUGGG